AAAACACUGGCAAGGCUAUCCGGAGGAUAUUGCACACGAGUUGGUAGUUUAUGUGUCCAUGUAUUUUGAACAGACUCAUCUGCAGGAGAAAAAACACAUAUUAAAUACACAAUUUUUUAAUGUUUGUAGUGACAACGCCAUGUUUUGUGAUUCUUGGAAUUGCCAAAAGUUUCCUUUUCUCAUUCCAUCUAGGCUUCUUACAAGUUUACUUUUUUCACUAGUCUGCUAAAAUCUCACAGCACUGUCUCAGGGCUGGUCUACACAUUAUCAUGUGGAGGAAGAUGGAAGCAAACUCCACCUGAUGGUUCCUUCAUGCCACUGCUGCCAUUAUGUGUGUGCAACACAGUGCAUUGUAUCAUUUUGGGUUUUUUUGCACCAGGUAGAAUGUUUCCACACCAGCCUCACACCAUACCAUAAAUAUGUCACAGAAGAUGUAACAACUAUAACAAUGGCCAUUGCUAUGUAGGUAUAGCAUUUCUUCUGCCAUUAUUGCUGAUUGUGCUAGUCCAUUAGGACUAGCAGCAACCCUCACGGGGGCCGGCAUAUACCCUGUCAAUAUUGAAAGUGUCAGGUGCACUGAUUCAGCACAUCUGUCACUUGCAAAUAUGCUACCAUCACUACAGGAGGCAACCAUUUGUAUGUGCUCUUGUUUGGUGCUAAUCUGAUUCAAACAUAUCUGUCCUAUUCAAACCCUUUGAAUUGGAACAGCCCCAAAGUCUUUGUGCCCCCAUGCUUGUAUGAAUUGUCAGUGCUGGGGUACUAAUAGGAUAAAACAUCACCUUUUCCAUAAAUUUUUGAGUUAGGUGCCUUCCCUUCCAAAAAUUAAUGCAUGCUGUGUGCUAUCAUUAUGGUCUUGGUUUCUAGGAACACCAUUUCACAUUUUGCAGAAGGAGACAAAGUUCAUCAAGGUUCAGGAGCUAGCUUGUAGAUUCUUCAAGGUACGUUGUGAAAAGGCAGUCAAUGGGUCAUUCCAUAUACACUGGCUGACAUGUUCCCACAACAUUAGAAGGGCAGAACAGGCGCUCCAUCCUUGCAAAAGGCUGCUUUGGAGCUCAGCCAGAGCGUUGCCAAGCAGCACAGAGUGGGAGGGGAACAUUUUUGCUGAUCUCCUCUCCUUCUAAAAGUGCUACUUGGCUGCCAGGAACAUGCCCCUGUGGGUUGCGCAGCCCCUAUUCGGCCCAUUUAACACAACAGAACAGGUAAGCCAUUAUGUUUUUUUAAGGAAAACAUCUAUUUUUGUUAAAGUAUACACUUAAUAUAAUAUGUACAUAAAAUAAAUAUUAUUUGGAUACAUAUUUAUCAUACCUCCAGUGAGCCUUAUUAGGCUGCAGCUGCCUGGAGUCUAUAUUUGUUUGGGUUUGCUGCUAUGUAAUUUAUUUUAGAAACACAUUUUAGGAUUAUUUUGUAUAGGAUACUAACAAUUGUGUGUGAAGCAUUUCUUUGUAGUAUCACUUCAGGAGUCCUUCUGAAGAAUGGGGUGGAAGAAUAUUAAUAUAAUAGUAAUACUUCAAAUAAAUUGCAAAAUAUCCAUAUCAAUCAAGACAUAUAGGGGGAGUAUACACUUCUACUGUCCACAGUAAUAAGAAAAACAACAACGUAACAAUAACUUGCCUAAGUCAGUUACUCUGUCUCGUGCCCAUUUCACCCAAAAAUCUUCUGAACUAACGGACAUAAACCAGGCAUCCAUAAGAUUCACGGAAAAUACACUACUCCAGAUUCCUGUGACAAAUGAAAAAUAAUUUAUUUAUAUACUGCCUUUCACACACAAAAAGCCUCAAGGCAGUGGACAACGUUCUUUAAAACAGAAAAAAGAUAGAGUGAUUUGAACAAGUAAUCAAAGAACAAGAAAACCACAGACACCUAAUUCUAAGAAUCACCAAUCAUAUCUGCUUCUGAAAUUCUGUCAGAUUAACCACAUCUUGACCAGCUGGUAAAGAGCCACAAUAGGCAAUUAAACAGGAGUUUUUUUUGUAAAGCUUUAAAAACCUUUUCAAUGAGAAGUGAUCCGCUUCUUGUGGGUCACUAAUAAAAACAUUUUGUUUAAGAACAAUAAUUGAAUUGCUGGAGAUGCUUGUCAGGCAGCAUAGUGCCUACUCACAAUAACAGUCCAAAGUUUCAAUCCUGAGUUGAAACUAAGUAAUUUGCCACAUAUUUCUGCAUCUGUGGAGAAAGUUACUGUAAUUGAUUGCUGCACUCAUGAGGCUAGUGGCAUUGUCAGUGUACGUGCACAUGAUAAUAAAUAUUGUAUUAAAUUACCUUCCAAGAAGCAGAUCCGUGAUUCUUGUUUUUUCUUCAUCAAAUGACCCAUGAAGAAUUCACUACCAAAAUGCUCAGCACGAAUGUAGGCUCCAUAUUUUUGGAAUCCCACUUCAUAGGGUGUGAAAUCCAACCAUUCUGUGAAGGAGGCCACAAGAGAGAAACGGCACAAUGUUUCACAGCAGGGUCAGCAGGAGUAAAUGGAAGGACAGGACCAUUGUGUGGAGUGGAGUUGUAGUGCAAAGAAUGAAGGAUACAAAUUCUGGAAAUGAAGGUCCUUCUACCCCCUCAAAAAACAAGACUAAUUUGAGGUGAACUGACAAAAGAAGAAAAAAGAAAGCCAUUUGUUAAGAAGUUUAGAAAAGAGUGGUUGGAACUGCCUCAGUUUAGUGGGGAAAGUAAUACUACAGCAUUGUGCAGAGCAUGUGAUAUAAUAAAAUGUGGGAAAAGUGAUUUUGAAAACAUGCUAAAACUGCAAAGCAUAAGAAUGCAGCUUCAUUAUUCAGCUUUUUGCUGAGUAAAAAUCUUCUCUCCAGACCUUUUUUAUUCUG